GGGCCCGCCUUUAAGGCCGCCGGGGGGCAUCAGCCCCCGGGCCCGCGCCCGCCGGAGACACCACGAACUCUGUCUGAUCUAGUGAAGUCUGAGUUGAUUGUAUCGCAAUCAGUUAAAACUUUCAACAAUGGAUCUCUUGGUUCCGGCAUCGAUGAAGAACGCAGCGAAAUGCGAUAACUAGUGUGAAUUGCAGAAUUCCGUGAAUCAUCGAGUCUUUGAACGCACAUUGCGCCCCCUGGUAUUCCGGGGGGCAUGCCUGUCCGAGCGUCAUUGCUGCCCAUCAAGCACGGCUUGUGUGUUGGGUCGUCGUCCCCUCUUCGGGGGGGACGGGCCCCAAAGGCAGCGGCGGCACCGCGUCCGAUCCUCGAGCGUAUGGGGCUUUGUCACCCGCUCUGUAGGCCCGGCCGGCGCUUGCCGAACGCAAAACAACCAUUCUUUC
rnacentral:rRNA from 1 species